rnacentral:snoRNA from 1 species
ACUUCUACUAAAUUCACACAAAAAAUAGAAAGCUCCUUGAGUAUGUAAUAAUCAGAGGCAAAAAAAAAUGUGGAUUUUGGAGAAAUCUGGGGCUAGUAUGCUCUUUUCAGACUUCAAGAUCAACCAUCCCACAUAG